rnacentral:rRNA from 1 species
GAUGAACGCUGGCGGCGUGCCUAAUACAUGCAAGUCGAGCGAAGCGGGGACGGGUGAGUAACACGUGGAUAACCUACUAUAAGACUGGGAUAACUUCGGGAAACCGGAGCUAAACCGGAUACUUAUACAUGGAUCUGCGCUGCAUUAGCUAGUUGGUAAGGUAACGGCUUACCAAGGCAACGAUGCAUAGCCGACCUGAGAGGAUGAUCGGCCACACUGGAACUGAGACACGGUCCAUGCUCCUACGGGAGGCAGCAUUAGGGAAUCUUCCGCAAUGGGCGAAAGCCUGACGAAGCCACGCCGCGUGAGUGAUGAAGGUCUUCGGGUCGUAAAACUCUGUUAUUAGGGAAGCGGUACCUAAUCAGAAAGCCACGGCUAACUACGUGCCAGCAGCCGCGGUAAUUC